AUUGAACGCUGGCGGCAGGCCUAACACAUGCAAGUCGAGCGAGCGGCGGACGGGUGAGUAAUGUAUGGGGACUGCCCGAUAGAGGGGGAUAACUACUGGAAACGGUGGCUAAUACCGCAUACUAUCGGAUAACCCAUAUGGGAUUAGCUAGUAGGUGGGGUAAAGGCUCACCUCGGCGACGAUCGCUAGCUGGCCUGAGAGGAUGAUGAGCCACACUGGGACUGAGACACGGCCCGGACUCCUACGGGGGCAGAAGUGGGGAAUAUUGCACAAUGGGGGCAAGCCUGAUGCAGCAAGGCGGGGGGGAUGAAGCAGGCCUUAGGGUUGUAAAGUACGUUAAGCGGGGAGGCGUUACCCGCAGAGGAAGCACCGGCUAACUCCGUGCCAGCAGCCGCGGUAAUAC
rnacentral:rRNA from 1 species